rnacentral:rRNA from 1 species
GGACGGGGGGGCAGUGUUCUUCGGUGAAUGACUGGGCGUAAAGCGCACGUAGGCGGCCUUGUAAGUUAGAGGUGAAAGCCCAGGGCUCAACCCUGGAAUUGCCUUUAAGACUGCAUCGCUUGAACACGGGAGAGGUGAGUGGAAUCCGAGUGUAGAGGUGAAAUUCGUAGAUAUUCGGAAGAACACCAGUGGCGAAGGCGGACUCACUGGACCGU